AGUGGGCCGGACGGUCGCUGCUGUGGAGGUCUCCGUGACUGAAGCAGGGGAGGAAAGUCCGGGCUUCAAAGGGCAAGGUGCCAGGUAACGCCUGGGCGGCGAAAGCCGACGGCAAGUGCAGCAGAGAGUAGACCGCCUCAUUCGUGAGGUAAGGGUGAAAGGGUGCGGUAAGAGCGCACCGCGUGUCUGGUAACAGUUCACGGCAAGGUAAACCCCACCUGAAGCAAGACCAAAUAGGAAUCCUGAGGCACGGCCCGUGCUGGAUUCGGGUAGGUCGCUUGAGCGUAUGAGUGAUUGUACGCCUAGAGGAAUGAUCGUCCUCGACAGAACCCGGCUUAUAGGCCCACUUCU
rnacentral:RNase_P_RNA from 1 species